CUAGCGACUUCAGAGUUUGAUCCUGGCUCAGGAUGAACGCUAGCUACAGGCUUAACACAUGCAAGUCGAGGGGCAGCACGGAGAUAGCUUGCUAUCUUGGGUGGCGACCGGCGCACGGGUGAGUAACGCGUAUCCAACCUGCCCAUUACUCAGGGAUAGCCUUGCGAAAGUAAGAUUAAUACCUGAUGUUGUUAAAAACCCGCAUGAGUUUUUAACCAAAGAUCUAUUGGUAAUGGAUGGGGAUGCGUGACAUUAGGUAGUUGGUGAGGUAACGGCUCACCAAGCCCACGAUGUCUAGGGGUUCUGAGAGGAAGGUCCCCCACACUGGAACUGAGACACGGUCCAG
rnacentral:rRNA from 1 species